UCGGAGAGUUUGAUCCUGGCUCAGGACGAACGCUGGCGGCGUGCCUAAUACAUGCAAGUCGAGCGAAUCGAUGGGAGCUUGCUCCCUGAGAUUAGCGGCGGACGGGUGAGUAACACGUGGGCAACCUGCCUAUAAGACUGGGAUAACUUCGGGAAACCGGAGCUAAUACCGGAUACGUUCUUUUCUCGCAUGAGAGAAGAUGGAAAGACGGUUUACGCUGUCACUUAUAGAUGGGCCCGCGGCGCAUUAGCUAGUUGGUGRGGUAAUGGCUCACCAAGGCGACGAUGCGUAGCCGACCUGAGAGGGUGAUCGGCCACACUGGGACUGAGACACGGCCCAGACUCCUACGGGAGGCAGCAGUAGGGAAUCUUCCGCAAUGGACGAAAGUCUGACGGAGCAACGCCGCGUGAACGAAGAAGGCCUUCGGGUCGUAAAGUUCUGUUGUUAGGGAAGAACAAGUACCAGAGUAACUGCUGGUACCUUGACGGUACCUAACCAGAAAGCCACGGCUAACUACGUGCCAGCAGCCGCGGUAAUACGUAGGUGGCAAGCGUUGUCCG
rnacentral:rRNA from 1 species